UGGGGAAUAUUGGACAAUGGGCGCAAGCCUGAUCCAGCAAUGCCGCGUGGGUGAAGAAGGCCUUCGGGUUGUAAAGCCCUUUUGUACGGGAAGAAAUCCUGUCGGUUAAUACCCGGCGGGGAUGACGGUACCGUAAGAAUAAGCACCGGCUAACUUCGUGCCAGCAGCCGCGGUAAUACGAAGGGUGCAAGCGUUAAUCGGAAUUACUGGGCGUAAAGCGUGCGUAGGCGGUUGGCUAAGUCAGAUGUGAAAGCCCUGGGCUCAACCUGGGAAUGGCAUUUGAAACUGGCCGGCUAGAGUGUGAUAGAGGAUGGCGGAAUUCCCGGUGUAGCGGUGAAAUGCGUAGAGAUCGGGAGGAACAUCCGUGGCGAAGGCGGCCAUCUGGAUCAACACUGACGCUGAGGCACGAAAGCGUGGGGAGCAAA
rnacentral:rRNA from 1 species